UUAUUAUUUCCUCCGUCCGGAAAUAUACUUGUCAUAAAAAUAGAUGUAUCUAGACUUAUUUCAGUUAUAGAUACGCCCAUUUUAUAUAUUUUUAGGGCAAGUAUUUUCGGGCGGAGGGAGUACUUA
rnacentral:pre_miRNA from 1 species